AAAAAAAAAAAAAAUCAAUACACUUCUCAUUUGGCAUCUUUUUGUUUUAGCAUAUUUUAACACUAAACUAUUCUCUUAUGGUUCCCCAGCUGAAUCUCCAGCUGAUUCACCUGAAGGUUCAAUUGCACCUUAAGAUUCAGGUUCAGAUUCUCCCUCAGUUGCAGGAUCUAAGAGAGUUCCAGGAACAAAUGGUGGGUCAUCUGAUGGAGGCAACAUUAAAUUCCCCUCCCACUUUUUGCUCUCUCUUGUAAUUGUUUCUUGUUUCUCUUCCAUCACCAACCUCUGAUUUUUGAGUCUUGUCUGCAGAGACUUGAGAGACUUGAGUGCUGAGGUUUUUUAAUGAUGUUUUGCCUUUUGUUGUGUCACUUCUUAUCUAUGUAGUUUGUAUAAAUAACGAGUUUUAAUUUUAUAUAUGUUUCCUUUAUUAUUCAGGCUUGAUUAUGCCAUAGAAACCUACUGAUUAAUCUAAAUUUUCUGAGCUAUGAAACAAAACUAUGUAUGAUUCAUUAGUUCAACAGCUAA